rnacentral:rRNA from 1 species
AGAGUUUGAUUCUGGCUCAGGAUGAACGCUGGCGGCGUGCUUAACACAUGCAAGUCGAACGAAGCAGCUUCUGCUUGCAUGAAAGCUGACGUUAGUGGCGGACGGGUGAGUAACGCGUGGGUAACCUGCCUCAAGUACAGGGGGAUAACAGUUGGAAACGACUGCUAAGACCGCAUAACCCGCUAGUGUCGCAUGACACGGACGGAAAAUAUUUAUAGGGUAUGAGAUGGGCCCGCGUCUGAUUAGCUAGUUGGUAAGGUAACGGUUUACCAAGGCGACGAUCAGUAGCCGACUUGAGAGAGUGAUCGGCCACAUUGGGACUGAGACACGGCCCAAACUCCUACGGGAGGGCAGCAGUGGGGAAUAUUGGACAAUGGGGGGAAACCCUGAUCCAGCCGACGCCGCGUGAGUGAAGAAGUAUUUCGGUAUGUAAAGCUCUAUCAGCAGGGAAGAUAAUGACAGUACCUGACUAAGAAGGCCCCGGCUAACUACGUGCCAGCCGCCGC